CUAGAUUAUAAUGUAUAGUAGUGGGUUGUUAGUGAUAUGUUAUAUUAUGUAAAGUAGACUAGGUUAUAAUGUAUAGUAGUGGGUUGUUAGUGAUAUGUAGAUGUUAUAUUAUGUAAAGUAGACUAGGUUAUAAUGUAUAGUAGUGGGUUGUUAGUGAUAUGUAGAUGUUAUAUUAUGUAAAGUAGGCUAGGUUAUAAUGUAUAGUAGUGGGUUGUUAGUGAUAUGUUAUAUUAUGUAAAGUAGACUAGGUUAUAAUGUAUAGUAGUGGGUUGUUAGUGAUAUGUAGAUGUUAUAUUAUGUAAAGUAGGCUAGGUUAUAAUGUAUAGUAGUGGGUUGUUAGUGAUAUGUAGAUGUUAUAUUAUGUAAAGUAGGCUAGGUUAUAAUGUAUAGUAGUGGGUUGUUAGUGAUAUGUUAUAUUAUGUAAAGUAGACUAGGUUAUAAUGUAUAGUCGUGGGUUGUUAGUGAUAUGUAGAUGUUAUAUUAUGUAAAGUAGACUAGGUUAUAAUGUAUAGUCGUGGGUUGUUAGUGAUAUGUAGAUGUUAUAUUAUGUAAAGUAGACUAGAUUAUAAUGUAUAGUCGUGGGUUGUUAGUGAUAUGUAGAUGUUAUAUUAUGUAAAGUAGACUA